AUUGAACGCUGGCGGCAGGCCUAACACAUGCAAGUCGAACGAGUGGCGGACGGGUGAGUAAUGUCUGGGAAACUGACUGAUGGAGGGGGAUAACUACUGGAAACGGUAGCUAAUACCGCAUACCAUCGGAUGUGCCCAGAUGGGAUUAGCGAGGAGGUGGGGUAACGGCGCACCUAGGCGACGAUCCCUAGCUGGUCUGAGAGGAUGACCAGCCACGCUGGAACUGAGCCACGUUCCAGACUCCUACGUGAGGCAGCAGUGGGGAAUAUUGCACAAUGGGCGCAAGCCUGAUGCAGCCAUGCCGCGUGUAUGAAGAAGGCCUUCGGGUUGUAAAGUACUUUCAGCGGGGAGGCGUUACCCGCAGAAGAAGCACCGGCGAACUCCGUGCCAGCAGCCGCUGUAAUAC
rnacentral:rRNA from 1 species